GACGAACGCUGGCGGCGUGCUUAACACAUGCAAGUCGAACGAAGUGGCGAACGGGUGAGUCACGCGUAAUCAACCUGCCCUUCAGAGGGGGACAACAGUUGGAACCGACUGCUAAUACCGCAUACUGAAGGAGGGGAUUGCGUCUGAUUCGCUAGUUGGAGGGGUAACGGCCCACCAAGGCGAUGAUCAGUAGCCGGGCUGAGGGGAUGAACGGCCACAAUUGGACUUAGAAACGGGCCAGACUCCUACGGGAGGCAGCAGUGGGGAAUCUUCCGCAAUGGACGAAAGUCUGACGGAGCAACGCCGCGGUAGUGAUGACGGCCUUCGGGUUGUAAAGCUCUGUUAAGCGGGACGCGGUACCGGAAUAGAAAGCCACGGCUAACUACGUGCCAGCAGCCGCGGUAAUAC
rnacentral:rRNA from 1 species